rfam:Beta vulgaris subsp. vulgaris Bvchr6.sca023.con0140.1, whole genome shotgun sequence.
AGACCUUGAUGGGGGCACAAACGCUGCAAAUCCUUAAAUGUUCCCAGGCUUCAUAGAGGGACUCCCCUGGCUCCUGCGAAAAUGUAGUGAUCUGGUGUCU